GUAAAAAUGAACUAAACGUGCUUUUUUCCUGGGUGUCACAUGUACCUCAGAAAAUCAGCAAAGAAAAGUAGGAAACAGGUCUUGGUGAGGGCGCAGCGCAGCGGGAGCCAUGGCAGGAGGUGGUCCUGGUGGGGCAUAUUGGGGAUUUGUUCUUUCAUGCCUUUGAAGAUGACUGUCAUAUGUAAGGGCUUUAAGACAUUGAGAAGAUAAAGAAGGUUUCUCUCCAGUUUUACUUUUUUCCUGCCUAUGACCUACAAGUAAACAGGGUGUCGCAUUCUCUGGAAAUGGAGUUGCAGCCCUGUAUGACACCUUGUGGAAGAAGAUAAUGCAGCCCCAUUGAUGCCCAGUUCCAAAACAACAUAGAAGAAUAAUUUAAAAUCUGCUCCUGCCACAUGGAUUAUGGCACAAGAUUUGGAUUCUGACCUAUUUAUCUGCCCAGCACCACGCAAACCUGGGAAAUAUCUGCAGAUCAAAUUCUUUUUGUUCCCUGGAACUAAACUUCAGUGAAUCACACCACUGUGACUGGUGCUAAGAGCAAAGUUAAAAACAUUCUCAUCAUGUAUUACUGAAAGGCGAUCCCCAACACCAUUUUUCUCCUGCUUUCUAAGCUAUUUGUAACAUUUAUAAGACAAACGUGAAAGUGAAUGCAGUAUUCAGAACCACAGAAAUCAGGCCUUUAAUUUUUCUAUCUGUCUUCCUUGUACACAAAAAAGCAGUGCUCAUGUGUGCACACUGGAGAGUGAUACUACAAGCAACAUAUCCUCCCAUUCCAGGGCUGCACAAUCUCCCCCUUCCUCAGAAAUCCACACAGAGGGAAACUCAGAAGAUGGGGGCCACUGCUCUGGUCACCACAUGGAACCACAGUCAGGUUCAUGGUACAUUCAAUUCCCAGUAGAAACGACAGAACAUCCGAUCUACACUGAACACCUUCCACACACUGUGGCAUCGCUUGCAGUCUUUCUUAAAACUCACUACCACAGAAGAGAAGACUCCUGGAGAGUGCCUGAAAGAUACCUGCCACUAGUACUCCUGAUUGCUCAGACUCCAAACAAUUCCUCUUUGGUUAGAGCCACACAGCUGGGCUUCAGAAUAUUAGCAGUUUCCCUACUGGGUGAUCAGAGAUCAAUUACUCAGGCAACACAAUUCUUCCAGCUCUGUCUUUCUAGCUAAGUAGACAGGACCCUAGUCUAGAAAGUUGGUAUUUUAGAAGACUCUCUUUUGCUUUCUGAGACCACAUCCUGAUUCUCAUACAAAUCAUACAGUCCUUUGUGUGCAUAUUCCAUUAUAUACUCAAUGCCCAGUGCAGCCAACCCAAUUGCCUCACACCUGGAGAAUCCUGCAAACAUAGGUCAUAGUCACACAUUAACUUUGUGAAAGUAAAACAACACAUGAAUUAGAAAACAAUGCAAGAGUCAUGGUAGAACUUGGAGGUAGGAAAGAGAAUUUGCAUAUGAUACAGUUAUAAUCUCGAAUUUUAUUUUGAUAAGUUGAAACAGGCUUUAUAGCCAUGUGCUCCAGACUAGGGAUUUGUGUUAGCACCUAUCAAAGAUUUCUCACACCAUUUCUUUAAGGAUGAACAUCUUAAACCAUAAAAAUAACAGUCCUGUUAGACAGGACCACACCAUUUUACCUAGAUCUUCUAUUUUGGAUGAACUACCUAUAGCAAUUGGGUUUCCCUAUAAGGUCAGUCUUUUACACAGUCUAGAUUACACUGGUUUUUGGACCAUAAGAAAUGAACAAUGAAGACAUUUAUGGAGCACCCAAAAUUGACUAUGUUAGCCCAUAUUGGUAAUCUCAACCACUGUUGAAGUAGGAAAGCUCUCACCCUCCCUCCUGCCUCUCCCUUUCUUACUGCACCAGCAUCAAUUUGUGCCUACAUCCCUCUUCACUUAUAAGUCCCCAGUAGAAGUCAGAGAUGCUAGAAAUUAUUCAGGAACUCGUCUAAUUUUUCUUCUCAUUGACUUGUCAAGAAUCAGUCUGGAAGGAGUUGCAGAACUGCAUUCCCAUGAAAGCCUUGGUUGAUCAGGCCAAACAGUGUUUAAUUUUUAAAUAGAUGUCACCUGGUGUUAUACUGUCCAUCUGGAAGAACUAUGCUUUUUCAAGAAGAAAAUUGGAACUUUAUGGCAUACCUGGUCUUAAGGUUGGCAGUGAUCCUGUAAUGCUCCCUUGAGUAGCUUGUUAGAGGCCUGUUCUUUGAUAUGCAGAUGAGGCUAAUGCCUGAUUGUAAUCUAGGGGAGGCUUCUGUUAAUGGUUUGAAGCCAAAAGUCUGGUAAAUUCUGGUAAACAAAGUAUAUUCUAGCAUCCUAAUUUAUUACAGGCCUGAUUACCAUACAGCAAUCUUUCAGGUGUUUUAAAGGCAAUCAUCCCUCAGCUAAAUUCUACUUGGUGAAAGCCAUAGGUUAGCAUCUGAUUGUGGAGGCUAUCCCAGUCUUCUUCCUGUGCUUUGUGAAACCAAAAACUUUCUGUCAUUUAUUGUUCUUUUGAAGGGAACCACUUUUUCCUAUGUCCAGUUGAAUCUCUACAGUGGUUUUCUGGAGGUAGGGUUUCUGAAGGAGACUCCAGAGAGUUCCCAACUUUGUUUGCUAUUCAGAUCACACAGGGAUCACUUUUGAAAAACUGAGACUUUGCUCCUCACUCCUGAAAAGAUUCUUAUUUAGUUGGUUGGGCUGCGGUGUCUAAUUGUUUUAGUAGUUUCCUAGGUGGCUUAGCAGUCAAACUUAUGACCUAAAUGGGCCCUAAGCAUCCGUUAUA